rnacentral:lncRNA from 1 species
ACUCUGCUGCCUCUACCUGCUGACAACUCACAUCAAUGCCUGGGUGUAUGGAUCUUGCUGGAAAAUCAAAAUGUAACUGGCAAAGAGAAAUGCAGAGGUUCAAUAUUGUGCAAGAUGGAUGUGCAUGUCAUUUGGUGCCAAAGACCCAGGUCACAGGGAUUCCUUCGGGAGACCAGGCCCCUGUCCUCACUCUCACUCCAUGAAGGGAUCCACCUAUGACCUCGAGUCCUUAGACCAACCAGCCCAAGGAACAUCUCACCAAUCUCAAAUUGGAGCCCAUCUACACACAGCAAAAUAUCUCACAAUGAAUUCCCAUCCACAGCCUCAGCAAUGGGCUGGUGUGUCCCCAGAGAAUGUCAGCUGAUUGGACAGCAGUCUGCAGGAGAAGGUGAAUCCCCUAAUUUGGAAGGAACUGAAGCAUGAAAAGAUGCUGAGAUCACAAUGAAAACAGACAAAGUCUUCUGGGGAUGAAAUGUUAAAAAGGGGAGAUGUGCAAGGAACACAGGAAGAAUAAGUUCAGGAGAUCUGUUAUACAACAUGGGGAUGAUAGUUAAUAACAAUGCAUGGUACAUUUGGGGAUUGCUAAAGGAACACCUUGUAAAGAUUUCCACCCUUCCUCUUGAAUGAUAAGUAUGAAAUGUGACGGAUAUAUUUCUUAGCUUGAUGUAGCUGUUCCACCGUGUGUGCAUAUAUCAAAACAUCACGUUGUAUCCCAUAAAUGUAUAUCGUUUAAAUUUGUUAAUUAAAAUAAUAAAUAAUAAAGAAC